rnacentral:rRNA from 1 species
UACGUAGGGGGCAAGCGUUGUCCGGAUUUAUUGGGCGUAAAGAGCUCGUAGGCGGUUCCGUAAGUCGGGUGUGAAAAAUCUGGGCUCAACCCAGUGGAGCACCCGAUACUGCGGUGACUCGAGUCCGGUAGGGGAGUGUGGAAUUCCUGGUGUAGCGGUGAAAUGCGCAGAUAUCAGGAGGAACACCGACGGCGAAGGCAGCACUCUGGGCCGAUAUUGACGCUGAGGAGCGAAAGCGUGGGGAGCGAACAGG